rnacentral:tRNA from 1 species
GAUCUUAUAGUUUAUAAAAAAUUUUAAAUUGCAAAUUUGACGAAGUAGAUAUUAUUUACUAAGAUUU